AGAGUGAGGAGAAGGGUGCCGCGCUCAUGCGGAACCGUGACCUGCAGCUGGAGAUUGACCGGCUCAAGCACAGCCUCAUGAAGGCCGAGGAUGACUGCAAGGUGGAGCGCAAGCACACGCUGAAGCUCAGGCACGCCAUGGAGCAGCGGCCCAGCCAGGAGCUGCUGUGGGAGCUGCAGCAGGAGAAGGCCCUGCUCCAGGCCCGGGUGCAGGAGCUGGAGGCCUCCGUCCAGGUGGGGCCGCAGGCAGGGCAGGUGCAGCCCAGGCAGGGCAGUGGGGGCUUCCCAGCCAGGCCAUUGCCUUUUGCCCCCUUCAGGAGGGGAAGCUGGACAGGAGCAGCCCCUACAUCCAGGUACUGGAGGAGGACUGGCGGCAGGCGCUGCGGGACCACCAGGAGCAGGCCAACACCAUCUUCUCCCUGCGCAAGGACCUCCGCCAGGGCGAGGCCCGACGCCUCCGGGUAGGAGGGCAGGGGGGGAGACAUGGCCCCUGGGGUCCAAGCCAGGCUGGGCAGGCUGAGCUCCGCCCACUCCGUGCCUGGAAGGUGGGGUGUGGAGACCCCAGUGCAGCGCCUCCACUCACCCACUCCUGGAGGCACAGUGGACGGUGCCCUCUCCUUGCCCGCCUGCCCCCCAUGGCAAAGGCCAACCUCUGGGCUCAUGGUGCCUGAGGCACAGCAGUGUCUGAGGCCUGCCGGAGGGCCCUGUCCUGCCGUGGUCUGAAAGUGCAGGGCUGGUAGGGGCCUGGGGACUCCUAUGGCCUCCCCCGACAUCCCAACUGGCCUGACCACAUGCUUCUGAGCCCCUGCCCGGAGUACACCCCAAGGGCCAGAAUGGGGGGCCUCAGGCCUGUGGGGGCUGAGCUGCCGCCCCCUGCAGUGCAUGGAGGAGAAGGAGAUGUUCGAGCUGCAGUGCCUGGCACUACGUAAGGACUCCAAGAUGUACAAGGACCGCAUCGAGGCCAUCCUGCUGCAGAUGGAGGAGGUCGCCAUUGAGCGGGACCAGAGCACACAAACGGAGGGGCUGUGACCAGCCUCCGCGCCCAGCGGCUUGACGUCCUCCGGAGCCUCUGCUAGGAGUUGGGCGGCCGGGCCGAGGGCCCAGGGCGAGCUUGGGGCCCUCACUGAGGGUCGGCCUUGUGCUGUCCCGUCAGGCCAUAGCCACGCGGGAGGAGCUGCACGCGCAGCACGCCCGGGGCCUGCAGGAGAAGGACGCGCUGCGCAAGCAGGUGCGGGAGCUGGGCGAGAAGGCGGAUGAGCUGCAGCUGCAGGUGUUCCAGUGUGAGGCGCAGCUACUGGCCGUGGAGGGCAGGCUCAGGCGGCAGCAGCUGGAGACGCUCGUCCUGGUAGGCCUGGGGCCUGGGGCAGGGAGGGGAGCCGGCGCGUGGGAUGCAGGGCCAGGGGAGCACGGAGCCUCAGCCCCGGCCUUCCUGACCCAACCCUCCUCUGUGACGGGCCCCAACCUAACCAAACCCCUCCUGGCAGUGGGGUGAGGGCACACGAGCAGCUCAGGGUCCCAGUAGGAAGUGGGGCUGCAGGGCCGGGGUGGGCCCUGGGCCUGGCCAUCAGGCAGCCUAGCAGGUUGUUCUGGGCAUGGAGGGGGCCUGGCGUGGCUGAGGGCAUGCCCAGGGAUCCCUGGAGGAUCCCGCUCUGUGCCCUGCCCACCCUGUGCCUGGGGAGCCCUCUGCCCCCACAGCCCACCCACCCCAUUUUCUAUGACCACAGAGCUCCGACCUGGAAGAUGGCUCACCCAGGAGCUCCCAGGAGCUCUCACUCCCCCAGGACCUGGAGGACACCCAGCUCUCAGACAAAGGUGAGGUGGGGACAGCAGUGCACCCAGAGGCCUCCCGGCUUCCCCAAGUGAGGCCCAUUUUCAGCACAGGCAGCCCGUGCCGCAAUGCCUGUGUCAACCCCCACAACCCCCACUCCACAGACAGGGAAACUGGGGCUGGGGAUAAGUAAAAUGGUCAAGGUCACCCAGAGAACAAACUACAGAGCCCAGCUGGAACCCAGGGCCCCAGCUAGUGGGACAAGUGUCCCCUGGGGUGGAGAGUGUGGAGGUCUGGGCAGCCCCCAUGGGCUGCAGAGGUGAGCAGGCCCACCGUCCUGAGAGUGUGGGGCCCCUCUGGGCAGCCCCCACGGGGUGCAGACGUGAGCAGGCCCACCGUCCUGAGAGUGUGGGGCCCCUCUGGGCAGCCCCCACAGGGUGCAGAGGUGAGCAGGCCCAGUCCUGGCUGCUCCAAGCUUCCUCCUGGACAGAGGGAGGUGGUAACGAGCGAACGACCAGGUGCAUGAAGCUAGAAAGUGGGGCGAGAUGGGGCCCCACGUGGCUUGAGGGAAAGGGCUGAAUGCAGGGGUGGCCAAGGGCCUGCUGUGUCCCGGUGCAGUGGGGGUAAGGCGGUGGCAGGGGCUUCUAGCGGGCAGGGCAGGCCCCCUCUGCCUGUCUGGGGGAAGGACUGGGUGGCUAGUUGGGAGCAGCUCCCGAGUGUCCAGGAGUGGGCAGUGGUGAUGGGGUAGGUGUUUGCGCUGAAGGUGCUGUCAAGUAGGGGUUGGGGAGGGCCCAGCAGAGGGGUCCUGGGAGGCUGCAUCGGAGUUGGACAAGCUUCCUGAGUACCAGGCCGUGGCCUCCAAGCAGAGGCGGAAGGGGAAGGAGGAGCCGCAGAUGGGGAAGUGAAGACCAGCGCCUUUGGCUGGAGCUCAGAACGCUUGAACAUGGGGACGCCAAGCCCCCAUGUAGGGACAGAGGCGAGCAGGACCCAGGAGUCCAGCUUAGGCACUGCCCCCAUCCCCCUGGGUGGCUGUGGCAGGAGCAGGGGCAGGUGUGAAGGUUGGAGGGUGAGCAGGGGAGGGGCUGGCUCUAAGAAGGGGCUGCCAGUGGCCAGGACAGCCCUGGCCUGGCCCUCACCGCAGUGGGGCUGAGACUGGACGUGCGUGGUUUCUGCCCAAGGGUCCUGAUGCCUGGUCUGCCCAGGUCCUGGCGGUUUCUGAGGGGGUCCAGCCGCCUGAAGGUUCUCUCCCAAUUGCUGCAGUACCCCUGCCCCCACUUCAGGAGGACCCAGACAGCCACUGUAGCUGUCCCCAACUCUCUCCCCAGGGCCGCCAUGCCCACAGAUGCUUUGGAGUGAUGGGGGACGGUGCUGCUCAGGCCCAGGGUUUAAGCUCCCCCGAGGUCUGGGAGGCGUUCCUCCCUGGCGGGCAGCCAGCUCGGGGGAGGGAUGGUCACUGGCAGGAGCGUUGGGCCUGGGCUGGCAUCUGGUGGCCUCCUGGAGCAAUGAACAGGCAAGCGAGGCCCUGAGGCCUCAGUCUCAUCUACAGAAAGCAGAGUCUACACUGGACCCAUGUGGGGAUCCCAUCAGGCCUUGGAAGACAGCCCCACCGCAAUGCCGGGGAGGGGUGGGGCAGCCGUGCUGUACGUGGCCCAGGUCCCACAGGCACGACUCUCCUUUCCAGGCUGCCUUGCCGGCGGGGGGAGCCCGAAACAGCCCUUUGCAGCUCUGCACCAGGAGCAGGUUUUGCGGAUCCCCCAUGUAAGGCUUCCCCGGGGUGGGGUCCUCCCAGCCGUGGGCCUCAGGGUGACCGAUCACAGGGAGAGUGGCUCCCUGCCCUGGGCACCCCCUGCCGUGGCCCCGACGACAGCUGAGGAGUGACCGCAAGGUCUCUGCCCACAGUGCUCGGGGUGCGGUGUCUGGGCUGCGAAGUGGAUCCCCCUCCUUUCUUGGGCACUGCAGCAGCUUGGGGGGCUUUUUGGAAGUGGAUGUGCCUGGUCCUGGUUUCCUGAGGGCCUUUACAGUGGAUGAGGAGGUGAACACAGGAGUCCUGAGAGCAAGGACCACCUCGGGCUUUGUUGUAGAAACAAUGGCCUGGAGCCCAGGCCGGAGCCGUGGCUUGGCCUCCUGGGUGUGUCUUGGCAUCUGAAAUGCAGGCUACCCACACCGGCUCACCUCCAGGGGUACAGGCAGGUCCCACAGGGAGAGCUUGGCGCUGAGCUGAGGCUGUCUGGGCUCCUCGCCUCCCAACCAGUCUGCAGUUACAGGGGCCAGUGGGGGGCGCGUGAGAAGGGCGGGUUCCCUCAGGGGAGCCGGCCGGAGCCCGAGCCUUCCCCCUUCUCCAGGACGCAGGCCUGAGCAGCGGGGAGCCGCCCGAGAAGGAGCGGCGGCGCCUCAAAGAGAGUUUCGAGAACUACCGCAGGAAGCGCGCCCUCAGGAAGAUGCAGAAAGGAUGGCGGCAGGGGGAGGAGGACCGGGAGAACACCACGGGCAGCGACAACACCGACACUGAGGGCUCCUAGCCGCAGCAGCGCAGGCCCCGACCAGGGCACACCCACCGGCCCGGCCUCCUGCCACCCGGGGGUGCCGACGCCCUGGGGCGCAGACUUCCCCGAGCCGUCGCUGACAGCCUGGAACGAGGAAUCUGGUGCCCUGAAAGGCCCAGCCGGACUGCCGGGCAUUGGGGCUGUUUGUUAAGCGGCACUCAGCUUGCGGAGGCCAUGCGGGUGCUCGCCACCCCCAUGCACACGCCAUCUGUGUAACUUCAGGGUCUGUUCUGUUUCACCAUGUAACACACAAUACAUGCAUGCAUUGUAUUACUGUUAGAAAACACAGCUGCGUAAAUAAACAAACAGCAGGGGUGACUCGC
rnacentral:sRNA from 1 species